rnacentral:rRNA from 1 species
AGAGUUUGAUCAUGGCUCAGGAUAAACGCUGGCGGCGUGCCUAAUGCAUGCAAGUCGAACGGGCGCACUUCGGUGCGUGACCGUGGCGGACGGGUGAGGAGCACGUAGCUGACCUGCCCUGGUGUGGGGGAUAUCCUCGGGAAACCGAGUGUAAUACCGCAUGUGCUUUCAUGGAGGGAUCUGUGAAAGGAAAGCCGAGAGGCGUACCAGGAGGGGGCUGCGUCCGAUUAGCUAGUUGGUGAGGUAACGGCUUACCAAGGCGAUGAUCGGUAGCUGGUCUGAGAGGACGAUCAGCCACACGGGGACUGAGACACGGCCCCGACUCCUACGGGAGGCAGCAGCAAGGAAUUUUCCACAAUGGGCGCAAGCCUGAUGGAGCAACGCCGCGUGGGGGAUGACGCACUUCGGUGUGUAAACCCCUUUUCGAGGGGACGAAGGCAAUGACGGUACCCUCGGAAUAAGGAUCGGCUAACUACGUGCCAGCAGCCGCGGUAAGACGUAGGAUCCGAGCGUUGUCCGGAGUUACUGGGCGUAAAGCGCGCGCAGGCGGACACGCGCAUCGGCGGUGAAAGCCCCCCGCUCAACGGGGGAGGGUCCGUCGAGAUGGCGUGUCUGGAGGCAGGGAGAGGCCAGUGGAAUUCCGGGUGUAGUGGUGAAAUGCGUAGAGAUCCGGAGGAACACCAGUGGCGAAGGCGGCUGGCUGGACCUGACCUGACGCUGAGGCGCGAAGGCGUGGGGAGCGAACGGGAUUAGAUACCCUAGUAGUCC